rnacentral:tRNA from 2 species
AGCCCUGUAACUCAGUUGGGAGAGUGCCUUUCUUACAAAGAGGAAGUCGCGGGUUCAAACCCUGCCGGGGCUACCA